rnacentral:rRNA from 1 species
UACUUUGUAUAUACGAAAAACUUUUCAUCUAAGUGAAAAGACUUAGAUAACUAAGGAAGACGAAAAGACCCCGCGGAACUUUACCUUUUCUUACACUUCUGUCUACACACUUAAAGGUCUAUAAGGUUUGAUUGGGGCAAUCUUGGAAUCACUAAAGCUUCCAAUAGCUAUACAACAAUAUAUAAAAUUUGCUAAGGACCAAAAAGUAGUUACCCCAGGGAUAACAGCGUAAUCCAACUUAAGAGUACACAUCGAAAGUUGGGUUUGCGACCUCGAUGUUG